UACGUAGGGUCCAAGCGUUGUCCGGAUUUAUUGGGCGUAAAGAGCUCGUAGGCGGUUCGGUAAGUCGGAUGUGAAAACUCAGGGCUCAACCCGGAGACGCCAUCCGAUACUGCUGUGACUUGAGUCUGGUAGGGGAACACGGAAUUCCUGGUGUAGCGGUGAAAUGCGCAGAUAUCAGGAGGAACACCGAUGGCGAAGGCAGUGUUCUGGGUCAGUACUGACGCUGAGGAGCGAAAGCGUGGGGAGCAAACAGG
rnacentral:rRNA from 1 species